rnacentral:rRNA from 1 species
AGUGAACGCUGGCGGUAGGCCUAACACAUGCAAGUCGAACGGCAGCACAGUAAGAGCUUGCUCUUACGGGUGGCGAGUGGCGGACGGGUGAGGAAUACAUCGGAAUCUACUUUUUCGUGGGGGAUAACGUAGGGAAACUUACGCUAAUACCGCAUACGACCUACGGGUGAAAGCAGGGGAUCUUCGGACCUUGCGCGAUUGAAUGAGCCGAUGUCGGAUUAGCUAGUUGGCGGGGUAAAGGCCCACCAAGGCGACGAUCCGUAGCUGGUCUGAGAGGAUGAUCAGCCACACUGGAACUGAGACACGGUCCAGACUCCUACGGGAGGCAGCAGUGGGGAAUAUUGGACAAUGGGUGCAAGCCUGAUCCAGCCAUACCGCGUGGGUGAAGAAGGCCUUCGGGUUGUAAAGCCCUUUUGUUUGGAAAGAAAAGCAGCAGGUUAAUACCCCGCUGUUCUGACGGUACCCAAAGAAUAAGCACCGGCUAACUUCGUG